UUACAUUUUAAAAAAGAUUUUUUCUAACGCGUCUACAUAAACACACACGUUUUUGUUGCAGUACAGUGUACUCAGUUAUUUUUAAGUAGAUAAACUUAUUUUUUAAAAGAACACUGGUCCUGGCUUAAGGACGUAAGUUCGAGUCACGGUGUACCAAUAGAUUUCUUGACUUUUCGCACAUUUAACAAACGCUAAUGCAAAAUAUUGUCUCUCGUCUACAAAAAAUAGAUUACCAUUCAAUACUGGACCAAAUAUGCGUUGUAGCACCCCUGGAGAGCCUCGAUUAUUUACGAAAAGAUAAAAAACAUUUUCUAAAUUGAGGAACACUGAACAUUGGCACUUCGAUUCGAUUCGAGAAGGUUGAUUCGAUUGCCUGUAAUUUACUGUAAUUUCUAUAUUAUUUAUUAGUUAUUAGCGCUAAUGUGAAGGUUUUGUUUCUUCUUUGUACUAUAUUUUUUAUAGAACAAGGAGCAAACGAGUAGUAGGGUCAUCUAAUGUUAAACACUUUCAAUGACAGGCCCGCGAUUGCGUUGCCAGCAUUUUAGAAUUGUUACGAUCUUUCCUUGGAACCUAAUUCGUAAUGGAAAUACUUCAGUGCGCAGCUGGUACCACAUAGCGGUGGUGCGCGGCAGAAACUGCCUUAAAAACGCUCAGUUAUGGAACAACGGAUAUCGGACGUAUGUAGUUUCGUAUUCUACCUCGACGUCUGAUGAUGAAACUCAGCUGCAGUCUUUUUAGCAUUUUUUAAGCACAUUUCAAACAAUUUCCUUAAACAUUCUAGACACAUUUCUGUGCCAUGACAGGAAGUAAGAGAUUGCUAUCAGCAUAAAAUUCUAUUGUUCAAAUGAACAAUGCAACUGCGUCGCUCACAGAAUUGUAACCUAACCUAAACUGUUGCCGUAUCUUGCAAUUUCCAGACUCAUUCAUAAACGUUAUCUUAAAAUAUCGAAUAAAAUGUACGACAAAGUCAUAGUGUUAAAAUUCUAUCUAAAUUUAGCCUAGGGACCUUGGACUGUAGCCCAAGACAUACUGGAGUCAUUAUUCGCACUAUAGACUCUCACUCUCCGUUCAGAAAACUUAGCGCUGACUACCGUACGCCAAAAUGUAUUAGAUUUUAAGUUACAUGAGGACAAAGUUCGCGCCAGGAGUUGUUUUCGAAUCUCACUCUUAACAGGUUUUCUAAAUUUAAAAUCAGAAUACAGUGAUAGAUUAUUUAGUUAUAUUUUUGAAUGUUACAUCCAUGUGUCAUAAGUCGCGAAUCAACUUUCAAUAUUUAAUUUCCCAUGAGAAUAUGGAUGGAUGAAUAUCUAUUUGCAAUUAUGUAGUCGCAUCGACAAGGUAAAAUGUAGUGUAAACUAAAACUGUGUGGCCUCGAUAAUAGGACCUAUUUACACCUGGUGUAAACAGCGUGCAAAAACACAAUACUUUUAUUAUUCUGAUUCUGUAUAAAAAAACUAUAAAUCAAAGAAUGUCAAAAGAAUUUUAUCCGAUCUAGUGAUUGUAAGAUUAACCAAAUGUUAUAGAUUGUAAGUUUUAUAAUUUAAUAAAUAAUUUUAUUCGUGU